AUUGAACGCUGGCGGCAGGCCUAACACAUGCAAGUCGAGCGGAUGAGUGGAGCUUGCUCCAUGAUUCAGCGGCGGACGGGUGAGUAAUGCCUAGGAAUCUGCCUGGUAGUGGGGGACAACGUUUCGAAAGGAACGCUAAUACCGCAUACGUCCUACGGGAGAAAGCAGGGGACCUUCGGGCCUUGCGCUAUCAGAUGAGCCUAGGUCGGAUUAGCUAGUAGGUGAGGUAAUGGCUCACCUAGGCGACGAUCCGUAACUGGUCUGAGAGGAUGCACAAUCACACUGGCACUGAGACACGGUCCAGACUCCUACGGGAGGCAGCAGUGGGGAAUAUUGGACAAUGGGCGAAAGCCUGAUCCAGCCAUGCCGCGUGUGUGAAGAAGGUCUUCGGAUUGUAAAGCACUUUAAGUUGGGAGGAAGGGCAGUAAGUAAUACCUUGCUGUUUUGACGUUACCAACAGAAUAAGCACCGGCUAACUUCGUGCCAGCCGCCGCCGUAAAAC
rnacentral:rRNA from 1 species